AAAAAAGAAAAAAGGGAUCGCCAGCAAAACCCUAGCCGCCGCCGCUCAUGCCGUCCUGCGCCCUUGCCGUCGCCGCGGUCGUUCUGGUUGCCCACGUCGCCUCUGCGCCGCCGCCGCUGCUUCGGCCGUCGUCGUCCAUCAGGGCCACUUGAUUCCUCCUGCUCGGCUCGUUCUUGCCUGCAGGCUGCUGCUGCGUGGCCAGGGAGGAGGAUAAUAGGAGGAAGAAGGAAUUUUGGAGAUUUCGGUGAUUUCGCGGCUUGCGGGUUUGUUCUCAAAUUCUAGUAUCCACGCUGCAACGGUGUGGAGGGUUCCAACUUGGAGGAGUUGAGUUGGAUUAUCGAAGAAGUUAAGGCAAG